GCCGAUGUUGCGACGGCAACCGUCAAGGCGGUCCUCAGUGCCGCCAGUGCGGCCGGUUGACGAUCGUCUGUUCCGCCCGCGCUAUCGGCU
rnacentral:tRNA from 1 species